rnacentral:lncRNA from 1 species
AAAUUCAGCCAAAUAACGAUAAUAAUCUCCCUUCAUCUUCAAGUAAAACACCUUCGACUCACCAGCAGAAGCUGAAGGAAUCAAAUACUGAUCCAAAAUCUUCAAAAUUCCAGCACAAACAUCACUAAGCUCAGAUUCAACCUUAGAUCUAUAAUCCUUCACUAAAACCACGUGUUCGUCGUUCUUCCUCCCUUCUUCCUUUUGCUCAAUUGACGAUACUAUCCUCCACGCGGCUCGAAGUGAACCGAUUACGUUCUUAUACGCUACCGAGAGGAGAUUUCGCUCCUCUACAGUUAGUUCAGAGGAACCCGAGACGGCUACGAGGCGGUCCAUGAAUUUUACCAUCUCCUCGUAACGCUCGGCUUGCUCGGCGAGCUUUGCUAAGUAUAGGCACUGCUCUCUGGUUAAAUUUUCCGGUACGGCCAUCGUCGGAGAUUCGCCGGAGAUUUUUUUAUUUUUUUCUCUUGGUGCUUUUAGAGAGAGGUUUUUUUUUUUUUUUGUUUCGUUUAUGAGAUUUUUUGAAUGUUUCGAAGAGGUUGAGAGAGAGAGGAUUUUUAUAUUGGGAGGGAAGUGUAGUGUAACUUGGUAUUGGUAUCUUUUGUUUAACGCCCACUUGCGUGUGUAAGUUCAAAUACCGUACUCGCCUCAGUUAUGAGAGGGGAGGAAAUGACUACUAAUAAAAUACGAGGGGGAGUUUGAUUUUUAAGUCAAACUUGAGGGAUGUAAAUAAUUUUUUGAGAUUUUUUAAAA